rnacentral:rRNA from 1 species
GACGAACGCUGGCGGCGUGCCUAUCACAUGCAAGUCGAACGGUAAGGCCCUUCGGGGUACACGAGUGGCGAACGGGUGAGUAACACGUGGGUGAUCUGCCCUGCACUUCGGGAUAAGCCUGGGAAACUGGGUCUAAUACCGGAUAGGACCACUGCCUGCAUGGGUGGUGGUGGAAAGCUUUUGCGGUGUGGGAUGGGCCCGCGGCCUAUCAGCUUGUUGGUGGGGUGAUGGCCUACCAAGGCGACGACGGGUAGCCGGCCUGAGAGGGUGCACGGCCAGAGUGAGACCGAGAUACGGCCCAGACUCCUAGGGGGGGCAGCAGGGGGGAAUAUUGCACAAUGGGCGCAAGCCUGAUGCAGCAACGCCGCGUGAGGGAUGACGGCCUUCGGGUUGUAAACCUCUUUCAGCACCGACGAAGCGCAAGGGACGGGAGGUGCAGAAGAAGGACCGGCCAACUACGUGCCAGCCGCCGCCGUAA